UGUCUAUGCCCUCCUUGGGCGUUUCCUCCCUAGACUUGGACCGCGCUCACGCGCGGUCUUUUUUUGUCAUGC
rnacentral:sRNA from 1 species